rnacentral:rRNA from 1 species
UCCGCUAGUAGUGGCGAGCGAACGCGGAAGAGGCCAAACCGGAGGUAGCAAUAUUUCCGGGGUUAGGACUGCAAUAUGUAACUUUAAUCUUUAACUGAAUGCUUUGGGAAGAGCAGCGAUACAGGGUGAUAGCCCCGUAAGUGAAAAGGAUUGAGUGCUAGCAGUAUCCAGAGUACCAGCGGACACGUGAAACCCGCUGGGAAGAUGGGGGGACCAUCCUCCAAGCCUAAAUACUACUCAGUGACCGAUAGUGGAGCAGUACCGUGAGGGAAAGGUGAAAAGUACCCCGGGAGGGGAGUGAAAAAGAACCUGAAACCUUGUGCCUACAAGCACCGAGAGUCCGUUAAAGGAUGAUCGGGUACUUUUUGUAGAACGGUCCGGCGAGUUAAUAUUUGCAGCGAGGUUAAGGAACUGGAGUUCCGGAGCCGCAGCGAGAGCGAGUCUGAAAAGGGCGUAUGAAGUUGCAGGUAUUAGACCCGAAACCGGGUGACCUAUCCAUGAGCAGGCUGAAGCGGUGGUAAGACACCGUGGAGGGCCGCACCCACGUCUGUUGAAAAAGCCGGGGAUGACUUGUGGAUAGCGGAGAAAUUCCAAUCGAACUCGGAGAUAGCUGGUUCUCCCCGAAAUAGCUUUAGGGCUAGCGUUAUUUUAGAUUACCGGAGGUAAAGCACUGAAUGGUCUAGGGGCCGCGAGGUUACCAAAGCCUAUCAAACUCUGAAUGCCGGAUAAUUGAUGAAUAGCAGUCAGACUGUGUGAGAUAAGUCUCAUAGUCAAAAGGGAAACAGCCCAGAUCUACAGCUAAGGUCCCAAAUGAACACUAAGUGGAAAAUGAUGUGAAACUGCGAAGACAACCAGGAUGUUGGCUUAGAAGCAGCCACUCAUUCAAAGAGUGCGUAAUAGCUCACUGGUCGAGUGGUUUUGCGCAGAAAAUGUAACGGGGCUAAGUGUUCAACCGAAGCUUAGGCAUUGCAGUAAUGCAUUGGGUAGGGGAGCGUCGUAUGCGGGGCGAAGUCAGAGCGGAAGCACUGGUGGACUGCAUACGAGUGAGAAUGCCGGAAUAAGUAGCGAGAAUUAUGUGAGAAUCAUAAUGGCCGAAAAUCUAAGGUUUCUUGGGGAAGGUUCGUCCGCCCAAGGUUAGUCGGGAGCUAAGCUCAGGCCGAAAGGCGUAGGCGAUGCACAUACGGUAGAAAUUCCGUAACCACCGAACAUUUAAGCUAGAGGGACGCUUUCUUUAAGGUUAUCCCGGGCGAUGGUUGCCCCGGGCGUAAGGGACCGAAAUAUAGUAGGGAAGUAACUGGCGAGAGAGACGAGAAAAGCUCUAGUGUAUACUAAGGUGCCCGUACCGCAAACCGACACAGGUAGAUGGGAUGAGUAUUCUAAGGCCAACGGGAGAAGGGUUGUUAAGGAACUCGGCAAAUUGGCCCCGUAACUUCGGGAUAAGGGGCGCCUGCGAGAGCAGGCCGCAGUGAAAAGGCCCAAGCGACUGUUUAGCAAAAACACAGCUCUCUGCUAAAUCGAAAGAUGACGUAUAGGGGGUGACGCCUGCCCGGUGCUGGAAGGUUAAGGGGAGUGCUUAGCGCAAGCGAAGGUGCGAACUUAAGCCCCAGUAAACGGCGGCCGUAACUAUAACGGUCCUAAGGUAGCGAAAUUCCUUGUCAGGUAAGUUCUGACCCGCACGAAUGGCGUAACGAUUUGGGCACUGUCUCAACAGCCCGCCCGGCGAAAUUGUAGUACCGGUGAAGAUGCCGGUUUCCCGCAACUAGACGGAAAGACCCCAUGGAGCUUCACUGUAGCUUGAUAUUGGAUCUCGGUAUUCCAUGUACAGGAUAGGUGGGAGGCUAGGAAGCGAGCGCGCCAGCGUUCGUGGAGCCAACCUUGGGAUACCACUCUUGGGAUAUUGGGAUUCUAACCUGCGACCAUGAAUCUGGUCGGGGGACACUGUCAGGUGGGCAGUUUGACUGGGGCGGUCGCCUCCAAAAGAGUAACGGAGGCGCUCAAAGGUUCGUUCAGCACGGAUGGAAAUCGUGCACUGAGUGUAAACGCAUAAACGAGCCUAACUGCGAGAAUGACGGUUCGAGCAGUAACGAAAGUUGGAGUUAGUGAUCCGGCGGUAUGUGAAUGGAAAUGC